CAAACUGCGAGUCGCUCUAUCUGCUGCUCUCUGUGUUCCCGCGUCUGCUCAACCCCGUUAGUUUGAAGUGUGCGACUCACACAUUGCUAGUCCGACCGAGCAAAACACAACUAAGUGCAGAGGGAGAGAGAGAGGCAGAGAGAGGGGGAGAGAGAGCACCAGUCUCCACGUUGUGUCUGGCAGCAGACACGCUUCAAAUCAAAUCGGCCCGCCAGACUCGGAGCUGCAGGAGGCUCGGUCGUCAUCGGCAGUGAGUCUUUGAUGUAGGAUUUGAGGCCAAACAAAGGACCUGAGCGAAAAUAACCAGAGCGCAUAUCCAGCUCUCGGCAUCAUCGUUGAAAGUCAAAGGCAGAGUCUAUAUACAGCGUCUCCGAGGCUGCACAGCACAGUGCCAGCGGUGCCCAACAUUUUUGACUCUAAAGUGGACCGCGAUUGUGCCUUGAUGUCCUUCACUCCAGCAAACAGCCAGCCUGCUGUGACUGUAGAGCCGCAUUGCCGCAUUGCGCAACGCAGAGACGGGGGCGAACUCAGUGUAACCGAGGACAUGCCUCGCCGAGGAGACCCGUGUGUUUCCGAGCUUCAGUUGCAUCAGGAGAUAUAUUUGCACAGAGAAGCUAACUCCCCCCACCCGGGCUGUGCAGAUAUUUGCAACCAAUCCCCCAGCGGUGACUCAAAGAACAUUUAAUUGUCCUCCAACAUCUCACAGUAUGUUUUAAUUUGAUUCUGUAUCAUUGGAAUCUCACAAGAACAACAUCAGCGCCAACAAAAUGAUGAUUUUGAGAGAUUAAAUAGAUUCUUCUCCAACAUGCAAAGACUCACAGUGGGCUCCAUAUUAAUAGAUUAAUAAAUUAGACAAAGCCUAAAGCCUUUAUGAAUGGGGACUGUGAAGAUUAAAAGUACAGCUAUAUAGGCUACACUCACGCCUUUCACAGAACAGGUGUCAAAACUGUGUAGGUUCCUAGAUUCCUUCUUGCAUUAAUCUGCAAGCAGGGUGUCAAUAGAAAAAACAGCUGCACCCAGGCACAGAAGAACACAAUUCAGCCAGAUAGCUCGUCGACCAUACUGGUCAGUACAUCUAUGCCUGUAGACAGAGCACAAUGACACCCACCCACACACACACACACACACACACAAACACACACACACAAACACACCCCCACACACACACACACACACAAACACACA